CUGCUUGAUUUUCAAUCCCAGCUCUUCCACUCAUCAGCUUUGUUAUCUUAGCCAUUUUCUCAGGGCCAGGUAACUAGAUUGAAGCAGAGUCCAUGAAGAACUAACCAUGCCUCACUCCACCCCUGCAGAUGGCUCCUUCAUGAAGAUCUCCCCAUUUGGAACACAACAUCUGUUUCCUGCUGGGACCCUGACUGACACAAGGGUCAAAAUAAGCUCCUCCAUGGGAAGCAUUGAGAGAGGCAGAAAAUAAAGAGAAGGAAGAUAAUACUAUCCAUUCAUUGCAGUCGUCUAUGUGCUAAACACUGUGUGAAGCAUUUUGCAUGUAUUCAAUAAAUAUUUACUCAAUGCUUUA
rnacentral:lncRNA from 10 species